CUCAACCCAACCCAUAAUUAUUUUAACACACUCCUUAACCCUAAAAACAAAGAGGAGCCGCACGGAUCUCUCCCUCAUCUUUCCUCUUUCAAACAAAGAUUCAUUUUUCCACAACAAUGGCAGACUUUUGCUACCCCAUUUUGGUGCAAGUCUCGACUCAGCAAACACAAGAAGGCAACAAGCAUUUCGAAAUCUUAUUUUUCUACAAACGGAAUCGAACAGCAGAGAUUCAAUCCUAAUCCCAAAACAAACACAACUUUUGUCUUCUUCCUAUUUUUAUGAAGGUUUCGAUUUUCGCUAGCCAUUGCCAGUUGUGGAUGUGCCUAUUUGGGUACAAGCUUUCAACUUUUGACGAAGUUCGUGACCUCAUCUCCAUACGCUGUCCUUAAGGAGAUUUGGUUAGAGCAAAGAGCCAAAAUAAUUUUUCAGAGAAAUUGAUGUUGCAAACGGCUACAUUUCAAAUCCGACCUUGAAAUCCCGCUCAAAAUCAUUAACCCUAGCACUUUUCUCCCACCUAUACAUACAUCUCUAACUCCUAAGCCAAAGAGGGGGGACGGGAGAUUUACCAUAGUUUAAUGGUCAAAACUAUUAUUUAAAGGAACUUUGAGCCGCCUUGAAAGAGACCUCUACUCUUCCUACGGUUGUCAUCUCUAAAACCCAAAGAAAUCCUCCUUUCUGUUUCGGUAGACUCUAGCUGUAACAGAGUUAUUGUUUGCGUCGAGGUUCCGAUCUCUCCCUAACUAGAGAGUAGAUUCGAGGCCCCGACGUCCUAUUUCACUGCACCCAAAACAGCCGAAGAGUUUCACUUUGAGACUCCACGACACCGCUGCCACACGAAGUCAUAUAUCACCUUCUCUCGGUCCCUCUGUUAAAUAGCGACAUUGAAAGGAUUUCCUCCUUUCGCAGGAGUCGGAUUCUUCGAGUUGAUUAUUUUACCCCAUCUCCAUCUUGUCUUUUUAUAUGAUUUGUUGUUUGUUGUUUGACUAAAUUAUCAUUGUUUAUUUUGGUCAUGACUUUAACUGCAUAAAACAGAGACUUCUUAGUAUUUUGACCUUUAGCUAAUAAAUAGUUAUUUUUCUAACUUU